rfam:Stegodyphus mimosarum contig50373, whole genome shotgun sequence.
GCCUUCGUGGUGUAGUGGUCAGCACGUUCGACGUGUAACCGAGAGGUCCGUGGUUCAAUUUCCGGUGACGGCA